AAAACCCUUCUUAAAAUAAAAGAAACCUUAAUUAACUAAAAAAAAACCUUUCAGUUACGAAAGCCUUGUUUAAAACAUUUGAUUUUAAAAAAAAAAUUAGUUGCAGAAACAUAGAAAACAUACUAUAAUUUAAGAAAUCCAUGUUUAACUUCUCGUAAUUACAAUGAAAAUAAUAAUAAUAAUUCAAGUAAUAAUAACAUAAUGAAAACCUUAUUACAAUUUAAUCUGAACAUACUUAAAAAGAAAUAAAAACUUAAAUGCUUAAAAUAAAACAAGUCUAAAU
rnacentral:lncRNA from 1 species